CAGUCGCCACGGGAAAACGCAGGGUGCAAGCGUUAAUCGGAAUUACUGGGCGUAAAGCGUGCGCGGGCGGUUUGUUAAGACAGAUGUGAAAUCCCCGGGCUCAACCUGGGAACUGCAUUUGUGACUGGCAAGCUAGAGUGUGGCAGAGGGGGGUGGAAUUCCGCGUGUAGCAGUGAAAUGCGUAGAUAUGCGGAGGAACACCGAUGGCGAAGGCAGCCCCCUGGGCCAACACUGACGCUCGUGCACGAAAGCGUGGGGAGCAAACAGGAUUAGAUACCCCAGUAGUCCCUGUCUCUUAUAC
rnacentral:rRNA from 1 species